rnacentral:lncRNA from 1 species
CAUCUUUCAGGCACACACACCCCAGGCGGCUGUACUACGUUUGGAAGCUCUGGAACUGCCCUGAAGAAGCUCCAGAGAGAGGUCCUAGCUUGUCUUUUCUGUUCUUCCCCUGUGCUGUGUGACAUUGAAUGAGUCCUCUCCCCACUCUGGACCUUCAAGUCUCGUCUGCAGGAGGCAGGCCUGGAGGAUAGCGCUCAUCAAGACCUACUUUCUCCUCCCAGCUGCCUCCUCCCAGCUGCCGCCCUCCUCCCACCAGCUAUAUUCGGGUUUCUGCUCCGUCCUUGGUAACCUUGUGCAUCACUUAGAGCACUGCGUGUGCUUUUCUCUGCCAAGGAACUCUGGAUACAAAGGAACCGCAGAGGUCAAGCAUCUGCCCGCAUCCAAACCCUUCCUCACACCUGAAAUCAAGACCCCUUUUCCUGUGUGCCAAGCCCAAGGUGAUCUGGUCUCAACUACAAGGGCAGGAUGCUUGCUGCCCACUCAGCCUGCAUGGACACAUGGUAGCUUUCCCUAAGCCCAGCUUCUUCCAGAAAGACAGAGGCCGCUGGAGACUCACCGUGCUCCCUUAGCAUGGAUUCCCUGAGAGUGCUCUGUCUGAGUCUAGUCUGCAAGAAGAGGGCCCCUCACAUCUUCCUUGGGCAUCUUUUGGACUUGAUGUUCUUGGGAUGAGCAGGACGGGACCAAGCAUCACCCUUGACUUGCAUCACAACUGGUACCAAGAUACUCAUCCCUGCCCCUUCUGCAGCCACUGUGCUGGGGAGCAGUAGGGUCUAGAAACAUCUUCCCUAUUUGCACUGGAUACUGCCAUGGCCUCUCCCUGCUCUGGAGACACACGGCCCUCAGGAAGCACUGAAAGAAGUAAUGAGACAGAGCGGCAAGACACUUGACAGCAGCCAGCCCUCCCAGCCUGAGGGCAUUCCCUGCCCUGUCCAGCAUCUGCUUCUGCAUCCUGAGCAAUGCACACUCCCUCUGCAGAAGGAAUAUCAACAGUCAACAAGCCCGGCCAUAGUGAGAGUUUUCAAGAGACCCAGCAGACCUGAAGAAGGCGGCGGCUUGGCUCCGAGGAUAGCCCUGCACAGCACUCCGAUCCUUUUGCCUCCUGCUCCUGUAUCCUUUCCACCCCUCCUUUCUGCAGGGGUCCGUGGUCCUUGGAGGGAGUAAUAAAGAUGUCUGACUGUUCUCCAACUCCAGCAAAGUACAGAAACCUUGAGCCCUCUCGGCAUCGCAAGUCUCGGGGUAUUCCUUACACAUACAC